GUAAACUUACAUUUAGUUGAUGCACUUGGUCUUAUUCGUCAAAAAGCAUACAUGUGGUUGAUUCAUCAAAGAUUUGAUGAAUCCAUAUCUUACACGAGAAAGCUCGUGAUUGUUAGGUUAGGCCAUACCAGGAGCAACCGAUGAGUUUACGCCUAGUCCCAAACUCUCCUUUCACCACCAAGUUACCUCCGACUUGGUUUAUAUAUGCAUAACAUUGUUACGUCAAUAGAGUAAAUCAAUGCAGCUCUCAACAAAUCUCUAACAAUUCUAACUAUUGGGACCUUGAAAUGAUUUGGUUUGGGGACAAAC
rnacentral:lncRNA from 1 species